CUGGCAUCCAUCCAGGGUUACCCACAUACUGUUGUAUGAAUCCAUACAACAAUCUGGUUCAAGAUCCAUGAUAACUGACUGUUUAUUACCACAGGUACAGUUAUUAACACAGGACAUUCUUCAGGUUAGGGUCCAUCCAGCUCAACGCAUAAACUGUCCUGCCACUUUCUACUGACCCUCUGGAUGCCAAAUCUACAGCUCUACAGCUCAAAAGAUUGAUCAUAUCCACAUGGACAGAAAACUGUUUAAAGGGAAAGCGUGAAAAGGUGUUGGAGGGAGUAGUUUGCCUGCUUCUGUCACAAAAUUUCAUCUGCUGGGGCUUUAGACAAGAUCCUACCAGGCGUUGCUUCAGUUGCUGCAGACCAGGAGAGCCUCUGGACAUAAAGGAUCUUUGGUCCCUUCUAGUAGAACUGAUCUUACUUCUCAAGAAAUCGUCAUUUCACAGCAAAAUCCUCCAAAUUAUUGGCUUGUCUCAUUUAAUCAGAGUGAUUCAAAAGUCAACAGCUCUGAGUAAGUACACAUGUGAAACCCCACUGGUCCUUGGCAAUUUCUGAGCAAGGUGCCACAAAGUAGAAGCUAGUGUGGAGAGCUUGUUUCUCCAUCCUGAAGCAGUUCCCACUGUCAAUGACCUGACACUUGUCUCCUUCCUGCGCUGUUGGCCAUAAGAAAUUGCUGAUCUUCCUAUCUGUGUGUCAUCUCCACCUUCCCUUCAAAUCAAUGUGGGUGUAAGGUGUGCCUUGCCAUCUCUGUCACUCAGAGUGCCUACUGGCUUUCCUUCUCCUGUGUUUUUAUGUGGUGCACUCCAGAUUUCCUACUGAUCAUAUCUCCUGUUCAGUCAUGGGAAGAGGGAAGCUAGAACUCAUUUUUUUUUUUUAAUUUUUCUCUUCAGUGAUAUUCUUAGCAUUUCCCACCUUCUAGAUGCAUACUAUACACUUCAUAAAACGGCACAUUUUCACAUUCUUGAGGGCUUUCCAGUGAUUUUUUUUUCCAGUCUAAUAUUGAAAAUGAAUGGUGUUACAUGUUUCUACUUUCCACAACACUGGCAGCAUUAUCUCGAGAGCCUCAGUAAGGACAGUGCUGUACACAUUAGUAGUACAUGUGGUCAUUAAUGAAAAGAACAUUUGAAAAUACUUAUUUUUGUGUUUAAAGUAUUUAGGUGAAAUCAGAUACUUCCAUCAGUCCUGGAGAUAUUGCUGUUCCUGAUAUUGUCUCACAAUCUAAGUGGGUAACACGCUCUAUGGGCAGAACUGGCAUUUGUGACAUAAGAAACAGGAUAUUUUUGUUUACUCUUAGACUUAUCUAAAAUACUUGAACCCCAUAACCUUCUUAGUUUGUCAUACGAAUAGCCAUGAAGCUUUAAGUAGACUGUUGCAGUGCAAAAGUAUAAUGUAAAUUUUCUUUAUUAGUCCAUGCCCUUAUUGUGAAAUUUUUGGCGUUUCUUCACACUUAACAGUUCCAGUAAACAUUGCCUCACGUCUGCCUGAGUUACAAUGUGAACAUCUAUUUCUCUCGGGUUUGCUUUUAGCAAGAGUACAUUACAGCACAAAUAUUUUUCCAGAACAGUUUCCACAAAUGUUCCCAGAUGCAUGGAAAUAUUUUGAUUAAUACUUUCAACUGUAGUCAAAUGACUUGCCUUUUUCUUUAGUGCAUUUUAUUCCUGUCUUUGAUCUUUUUAAAAUCACAAUCUCAUCUAUUUUAUGGAAUUUUCACUACUGCUCUUCUUGAGCAGAAAGCCCUGGAGGAGUCAGUUAGUUUCAAACAUUUUUGAGCACUGAUCACAUUAAAUAUAUAAAAAGAUUGGUGAAUAUAGUUUUCUGUAAUUGCAUUGCUAUGUAAUAAACCUCCUACAGACAUAAAGAAAGCAAUAUAAGAGAACCAAGGGUAACAGCAGAAGUCACCAUGUCUUCAGUUAAUUUCAGAGAGUAUGUGUAUUUGUCUACACAUAUAAAUAAAUCAUUAAAAUGUGUUUA